CAGAGUACGUGAAACCGCUUAGAGGUAAACGGGUGGAUCCGCAAAGUCGGCCCGGGGAAUUCAACUUGCCGUUUGGGCUGCGGGCGUUGGGUCAGGGAUCCGUAAAGACCCGCCUGGCGUUCGGCAGUCGUCGGCGAGUGCACUUUCCUCGGGUAGAGCGCCACGACCGGUUUCGGAGCGGUCAUAAGCCGGCUGGGAAGGUGACUUCCUCCUCGGAGGAAGUGUUAUAGCCCGGCCAGGUCGGCUCGUUCCGAGACCGAGGAUUUGCCGCGUCUCACUGCCCCUGGCUCUCUGGGUGCGUUCGACUGGGGAAGCACUGCUUGCAGUUCUCUCCGACUGCGUGCCUUGAUUGGUCGGGAAGCACGAGGCGCUUCGGGUCAGUGGCGAAUCGGUCGGUCCUCCACCCGACCCGUCUUGAAACACGGACCAAGGAGUCUAACAUGUGCGCAAGUCAUGGGGUUCUGUACGAAACCUAAAGGCGCAAUGAAAGUGAAGGUCAACCUCCGGUAGGCCUAGGUAGGAUCCCCGCGAGGGGCGCACUACCGGCCCGUCUCGACCACAUCGUUGGUGGGGCGGAGCAAGAGCGUACACGUUGGGACCCGAAAGAUGGUGAACUAUGCCUGAGUAGGACGAAGCCAGAGGAAACUCUGGUGGAGGUCCGUAGCGAUUCUGACGUGCAAAUCGAUCGUCAAACUUGGGUAUAGGGGCGAAAGACUAAUCGAACCAUCUAGUAGCUGGUUCCCUCCGAAGUUUCCCU
rnacentral:rRNA from 1 species